AGUGAACGCUGGCGGUAGGCCUAACACAUGCAAGUCGAACGGCAGCACAGUAAGAGCCUGCUCUUACGGGUGGCGAGUGGCGGACGGGUGAGGAAUACAUCGGAAUCUACUUUUUCGUGGGGGAUAACGUAGGGAAACUUACGCUAAUACCGCAUACGACCUACGGGUGAAAGCAGGGGAUCUUCGGACCUUGCGCGAUUGAAUGAGCCGAUGUCGGAUUAGCUAGUUGGCGGGGUAAAGGCCCACCAAGGCGACGAUCCGUAGCUGGUCUGAGAGGAUGGUCAGCCACACUGGAACUGAGACACGGUCCAGGCUCCUACGGGAGGCAGCAGUGGGGAAUAUUGGACAAUGGGCGCAAGCCUGAUCCAGCCAUACCGCGUGGGUGAAGAAGGCCUUCGGGUUGUGAAGCCCUUUUGUUGGGAAAGAAAAGCAGCAGGUUAAUACCCCGCUGUUCUGACGGUACCCAAAGAAUAAGCACCGGCUAACUUCGUG
rnacentral:rRNA from 1 species